rnacentral:rRNA from 1 species
CCCUAUGGGGUGCCCUUCUCCUUCAUUCCCUGCGCUGGCGCCACCCGCAUGCCCAAACCUCAGGCAAUCCCCACGCGGGUGCGUGCCCUCGAAGAACGCAGCGAAUGCGAGAUCACUUAUCCGCGGGUAAUUGGUUACCGCUACAUUCUGCCAGAUGAGAGCGUCCGGGCAGAAUUCACCGAAGAAAGCUGCAAGGUACUUUCCACCGAGGAGCUGCCCAGCAAGACUGAGAUGGCUUCCAUCUUGGGCGAGAAUGAAAAGCACACUUUGGAUGACCUGAAAGCACGCCGUGUGCAGGAAGUGGACUUCCUGAUCGCCAGCCGGCUGAUGGGCAAAUAUUUUCAAGCUGAAGACGGCGACCCCAAACCCUGGCUUUUUCCACCCCUGCUCCAGAUUGCGCGGGAUUGGCGGGAGAGC